UCUUCUUUCACUUAACCUUUGGGUUUUCUCUUCUUCCUUCUUUCUAUGUUCUUUUGUGAUUUGUGUUUUGCUGUUGUGGCAUGUGUUGUACGAAGGAAGAUUGAAUGAGUGUGGAGUGCUGAUGACUCUGAGGCUUAGCUCGAGCUAGUUGUAACUCCAAAGGCGAGCUCCAAUAGCCUUAGGAAUAUGCGCGUAGUGAGUGGUUGAAGUUUCAGAGAUUGUGAUGAUGAAUUUGCAGAGUGAUGAAUGAUGGUCGAUUGAAAUGGUGGUGAGCGGUUAUGGAGAAAGAUUGAAGAUCAGAGUGAAGGUGAAAAAUGGGCCAAUGUUGUGGGGCUUAAUGCUUGGACUCGUUUGAGAAUCACGAAGCCUUCUGUAUGUUUAGUGUAGAGCUGUUCAACCACAGGUAUUGAAGAAAAUUUCCAUUGGAUGGUCAGAAAAUGAAUGAAUUCUGACUCAGAUUAUGAGUGGAUUGUGUUGACGUCGAACCGUUUAUGUAACCAUGACUGAAUGGAUCUGAAUUAUGCUUGUGCACUGAUUUUAUAUGACUUGUCUUUGUAAAUGUAUUUGUAUGUUAUGUGAAUUGGUUGAAGAAUGGGUGCAGGGUUGUUGGUUUAUGUAUAUGAAUUCUGUUUGAAUUUUGAAACUGGAUGCGUGUAUUGCAGGCCUUGUAAUCUUAGUUUUGGAUCUGUUUUGUGAAGCUAUGUUCUGUUUUUUUUUGUAUAUGCAGGUUUGAAAUUGGAAGCAAAAGAGUGUAUUGAAGGCAAAGUAGGAGCAAGGGACAAAUAUGAUGGAAGAUGACGAUACUGCGGAUUCGGGAGUAAAAGGCUUUACGACAUUUGUUGGAUUUGAUGAAUAUAUAAAUGUUUGGAAUUUCUUUGAGAUGUAAUUGGUAUAAUGGCAAUGUAAUAUGGAUUUUAGAUGUGAGAUCUUUAAGCAUGGCUUAAAACAUAGUGGUUAAGAUGACUUUAGUGAAAAGUCAAAUUUUUAAGGUUGACUUUGACCAGAA